AUUGAACGCUGGCGGCAGGCCUAACACAUGCAAGUCGAGCGGAUGAAGGGAGCUUGCUCCUGGAUUCAGCGGCGGACGGGUGAGUAAUGCCUAGGAAUCUGCCUGGUAGUGGGGGAUAACGUCCGGAAACGGGCGCUAAUACCGCAUACGUCCUGAGGGAGAAAGUGGGGGAGCUUCGGACCUCACGCUAUCAGAUGAGCCUAGGUCGGAUUAGCUAGUUGGUGGGGUAAAGGCCUACCAAGGCGACGAUCCGUAACUGGUCUGAGAGGAUGAUCAGUCACCCUGGAACUGAGACACGGUCCAGACACCUACGGGAGGCAGCAGUGGGGAAUAUUGGACAAUGGGCGAAAGCCUGAUCCAGCCAUGCCGCGUGUGUGAAGAAGGUCUUCGGAUUGUAAAGCACUUUAAGUUGGGGGGAAGGACAGUAAGUUAAUACCUUGCUGUUUUGACGUUACCAACAGAAUAAGCACCGGCUAACUUCGUG
rnacentral:rRNA from 1 species